rnacentral:rRNA from 1 species
UACGGGGGGAGCAAGCGUUGUUCGGAUUUACUGGGCGUAAAGGGCGCGUAGGCGGCCACCGCAAGUCGGUUGUGAAAUCUCUGGGCUUAACCCAGAAAGGUCAACCGAUACUGCGGGGCUAGAGUGCAGAAGGGGCAACUGGAAUUCUCGGUGUAGCGGUGAAAUGCGCAGAUAUCGGGAGGAACACCGGUGGCGAAGGCGGUUCUCUGGGCCUUACCUGACGCUGAGGAGCGAAAGCGUGGGGAGCGAACAGG